rnacentral:rRNA from 1 species
UACGGAGGGAGCUAGCGUUGUUCGGAAUUACUGGGCGUAAAGCGCACGUAGGCGGCGAUUCAAGUCAGAGGUGAAAGCCCGGGGCUCAACCCCGGAACUGCCUUUGAAACUAGAUUGCUAGAAUCCUGGAGAGGUUAGUGGAAUUCCGAGUGUAGAGGUGAAAUUCGUAGAUAUUCGCAAGAACACCAGUGGCGAAGGCGGCUCACUGGCCCGAUACUGACGCUGAGGUGCGAAAGCGUGGGGAGCAAACAGG